rnacentral:rRNA from 1 species
UUGGAUAACCGUGGUAAUUCUAGAGCUAAUACAUGCUAAAAAUCCCGACUUCGGAAGGGAUGUAUUUAUUAGAUUAAAAACCAAUGCCCUCUGGGCUCCUUGGUGAUUCAUGAUAACUCUUCGAAUCGCACGGCCUUGCGCCGGCGAUGGUUCAUUCAAAUUUCUUCCCUAUCAACUUUCGAUGUUUGGGUCUUGGCCAAACAUGGUCGCAACGGGUAACGGAGGGUUAGGGCUCGACCCCGGAGAAGGAGCCUGAGAAACGGCUACUACAUCCAAGGAAGGCAGCAGGCGCGCAAAUUACCCAAUCCCGAUUCGGGGAGGUAGUGACAAUAAAUACUGAUACAGGGCUCUUUUGGGUCUUGUAAUUGGAAUGAGUACAAUUUAAAUCCCUUAACGAGGAACAAUUGGAGGGCAAGUCUGGUGCCAGCAGCCGCGGUAAUUCCAGCUCCAAUAGCGUAUAUUAAAGUUGUUGUGGUUAAAAAGCUCGUAGUUGAACCUUGGGCCUGGCUGGCCGGUCCGCCUCACCGCGUGUACUGGUCCGGCCGGGCCUUUCCCUCUGUGGAACCCCAUGCCCUUCACUGGGUGUGGCGGGGAAACAGGACUUUUACUUUGAAAAAAUUAGAGUGCUCCAGGCAGGCCUAUGCUCGAAUACAUUAGCAUGGAAUAAUGAAAUAGGACGCGUGGUUCUAUUUUGUUGGUUUCUAGGACCGCCGUAAUGAUUAAUAGGGACAGUCGGGGGCAUCAGUAUUCAAUUGUCAGAGGUGAAAUUCUUGGAUUUAUUGAAGACUAACUACUGCGAAAGCAUUUGCCAAGGAUGUUUUCAUUAAUCAGGAACGAAAGUUAGGGGAUCGAAGACGAUCAGAUACCGUCGUAGUCUUAACAUAAACUAUGCCGACUAGGGAUCGGACGAUGUUAUUUUUUG